rnacentral:rRNA from 1 species
CCUGCCCGGUGACACAUGUUCAACGGCCGCGGUAUCCUAACCGUGCAAAGGUAGCAUAAUCACUUGCCCAUUAAUUGUGGGCUAGAAUGAAUGGACCAACGAAAUAAAGACUGUCUCUAUAAGUUUCAUAAAAAUUAAUCUCUAACUGAAGAGUGUUAGAUAUUAUCGAAGGACAAGAAGACCCUAUAGAGCUUUAUCUGCAUAAAAUCCAAUAUUUUUAUAAGAUUCGGUUGGGGCGACCAGGGAAUAUAAUUAAACAUCCCUCUUCCACAGAUAAAUUAAUCUUAGUUCUGACCCUUAAUAAAGAUCACAAGACCAAGCUACCUUAGGGAUAACAGGCUAAUUUCACUAAAGAGUCCUUAUCAAUAGUGAAGUUUGGCACCUCGAUGUUGGCUUAGGGAAUCUAUGCGGCGCAAAAGUCGCAUAAAGAUGGUUUGUUCAACCAAUAAUACCCUACAUGAGCUGAGUUCAGACCGGCGUAAGCCAGGUUAGUUUCUAUCCUCGACAUUAUAACCUAUUUAUAGUACGAAAGGACCUAAAUAAGGAUAAUUAUUAUAGCCAAAGAAUAAAUAUAAUAUAAAUUAAAGAAAUCACUUACAUACAAUA